AGAGUUUGAUCAUGGCUCAGGACGAACGCUGGCGGCGUGCCUAACACAUGCAAGUCGAGCGGAGGGAUUCAUAGGAAGUUUUCGGACGGAAUAUGAAUUGCUUAGCGGCGGACGGGUGAGUAACGCGUGGGCAACCUGCCCUUUACAGGGGGAUAACACAGGGAAACUUGUGCUAAUACCGCAUAACACCGGACCAUGGCAUCAUGGAUCGGUCAAAGGAGAAAUCCGGUGAAGGAGGGGCCCGCGUCUGAUUAGA
rnacentral:rRNA from 1 species